rnacentral:rRNA from 1 species
AACGAACGCUGGCGGCAGGCCUAACACAUGCAAGUCGAACGCCCUAGCAAUAGGGAGUGGCGCACGGGUGCGUAACGCGUGGGAAUAUGCCCUUCACUGCGUAAUAACGUUUGGAACGAACGCUAAUACCGCAUAAUGACUCCGGUCCAAAGAUUAUCGGUGAAGGAUUAGCCCGCGUUAGAUUAGCUAGUUGGUGAGGUAAUGGCUCACCAAGGCGACGAUCUAUAGCUGGUCUGAGAGGAUGAUCAGCCACACUGGGACUGAGACACGGCCCAGACUCCUACGGGAGGCAGCAGUGAGGAAUUUUGGACAAUGGGGGCAACCCUGAUCCAGCAAUGCCGCGUGAGUGAAGAAGGCCCUCGGGUUGUAAAGCUCUUUGUCAGGAGAAACGGUGAGUUCUAAUAAAGCUUGCUAAUGACGGUACCUGAAGAAUAAGCACCGGCUAACUACGUGCCAGCAGCCGC